rnacentral:lncRNA from 1 species
GUAUGCCUGUGUCACUUUUUUGGCACUCUUUUCUCAUGGGUACAUUCAGAGAAGAGGAAUGUUUGUUCACUGGUGAAGAGAACAUCCCGUGUACUAUCGUGUAGAAGUUGUAGUAGACGCUGUGGUCUUUCCAACAACAAACAAACUGCUGGGACAGGACCCAGGAGGUUCCGGAGGAUCAGGAGGUCCACCUGGGAGAAGAGCUGAUCGGCUAGUAGGAGAGCUGGAAAAGCAACAGACACCUACUUAGUCCCUUCCCUGGGGCCCGGCUCCAGUCUGAGCUGUCACGCCACAGCAAAGGCAUCACUUCAGGACAGCAAAGCCCCUGUCUCCCUCCCUUCCAGCUCCUCAGACUUCACCCUGGUAACACGUUUGUUUAAAAAACAUAUUUUU